GGAAGGGUGCCAGAGUGGACGAAUGGAACGGUCUUGAAAACCGUCGUGGCUGCAAGGUCACCGUGGGUUCGAAUCCCACCCCUUCCG
rnacentral:tRNA from 1 species